CACUUUCAUUUGCUUCCAAUAUUCCACCCUUCUUAUAUUACUUACCAUCCCUAUUCUAUAUAUAUAUAUAUACGGAACGCACAGGACUGAUAGAAUCCAAACCGUGUUACGUGUCAUCAGAAAGUGCGAAAGCUUAAUUCCCAGAAUUGGAUAUCACAGUUGAACGAGUCGCAAUCAGGAUCUUGAUAAAAAGACUCUACAGAGUGAAUGGUGAAUUCCGUAAUAAAAUUUUUAUACGUUCGAUAUAAAGUGUACUACGUGCGUAUGCCAAUUGACGUACUCUUGUACGUCCAAUACUGUAUAGUACAUGCAACAUAAGUGUCUGAAUCAUUUCUUCACUAUAACCCGUGCUGACUCUAUAUACAGCUGGAGGAUAGUUACGUGGAAGAGCCUGGUAAGGACUUACCCGUUUGACCAUUAUAGGCAGGACUAUGGAGACAACUUUAUACGAGUGGCUGUCGUCGUUCUUAGGUGCCAAUCGCACCUGUGAAUGUUCACGUUUUAUACUGUCUUUUGUCCAAGAGUGAAACAAUGGACGGAUGUUUAAAAAUAGGAAAAAUUUCGAGAUAAUCUUUUUCAGAAAGUGGAACAGGAUCCGACACCAGAGUGGUACAUAACCACGAGGAGUUGAGAAACAGCAUUGGGAUUUACGGUAGCUAACGAUUCUUCGGGUUUUUGUCGUACGCCAAGAGAGUCGACAGACAGACGGACCACUCGAUGUUUCACUCAGCGCCACUCGAGGUCCCCGUCCUCAUCCACGUCCUCGUAAGAAGGCUAAAAACUGGCAGGUACCGUAAAUGCGUGUAACAGAAGAUACGCAUACAAGUGAAUAGGACUCGAAGGAGAUUAAGAAGAGUGGAGGGCAAUAAGCAAAAAAAAAAUUUUAAUACCCGAAAAUAUCAAAUACGUGGAAAGAUCGUAUAAGUAAAAUGAUUUAUUUUAAUAUAAA